rnacentral:lncRNA from 1 species
AAGUCCAAGAAUAUGUCAAGUUACAAUCACACGCAGCAAAGACCAGCAAAACUCAGGUGAAAUUUCAGCAAAGACCAGCAAAACUCAAGUGAAAUUUCAGCAAAACUCAAGUGAAAUUUGAAGUAAAAAGAAAGAGGUGACUUCUGCAAUUAGAAAAAAUAGACAUUGAUUUCAUUUAUAAAGACCUUCAAUAGAGAGCUAUAGCUUAAUUUUUAAAAACAAACCUGGAUUUUAGGAACGGUACCACCAUUAUUGUGGUUUGUUUUGCUUAUUUUUCUCCAACAAAUCAGUUAUGCAUUGGAAAUUAGGAGUCACUCUGAUUAAGAAUUUAUGUUAUUCACUCCCGUAGGUAUCUCUAUUUCUAGCAGAGGAGUUGGAAGACACGUUCUGCUGGACGCAUCUUUUCGAAGGGGUGGGGGAGUGGAAUUGUGUGUGCGGAAAAUUCG